rnacentral:lncRNA from 1 species
CGCCCGCGCGCCAAUGAGUUCACUUUCUUUCUCUCCCCCGCGCUCCCCCUCUCCCCGCCCGCCGGCCCCUCCAGCCUCCUCCAAGGCGGCGGACCAGGCCGGGCCGGAGUUUUCGGGGUUCAGCCCGCGAGCGGGAGGACCGGGGAGGCGAGGGAGGAGGAAGGCGAGAAGGGCCAGAUCGCGGGAGAGCCCAAUCACGGGGCGAGCUGGACCUGGCUGUGAUCAUUUAUAAUCCUUGACUCCUCCGCUCCGCCACUUGUCAAGAUGACAGGGGUCAUCCGUGAAUAACACUUCACGCUGAUGAAUGGCUCUUGCCGGCUUUCGGCUCUGAUGAGGGGUCUGCCCGCCGCCGAUUGAAAACACUAAUGAACUUACUGCGCCAUUUGAAAUUCACACGCACCAACAAAAUGGGGGGUGGGCAUUUCAGGUCAGCUGAGUCACCCGAGGAGGUGGCAGUGCAAGACACUGCCGGGAAGACGGAUUCCGAGGCAGAAGGGUGUAAUUAAGGAUUUCCACCCCCGGUAGGCGGCCCGUCCUUUGCAGAGCCUCUGAAAAUGACCCGCGCCUUCCUUUCCACAGUGUUCUUUCGUCCGAGACCGAAAAGCGCAAAUGACCUUUGGACAGGGAAGGGAGGCAGUAAACACUCAGACUUCCUUACCAGCCCCUGGUGGGCACUGCAGCAGAACAAUUGUCUGCCCCCCAGGUUCAAGCACCUAGGCCUCCGCCCCGCAUCACCUGGCCAGGGGCGGACCCGGGAGUCCUCCGAAGGCUCCACUCCCCACUUUUACUACUCUUCUUUCCUCUCCAUUCUCCCCUCAGAUUAGCGGCCGGACACUGUCCCUGCCUCGAUUUUGUUUGCUGUGGGAGGGAAAAAAAAAGUUUGCUGCUCCUCCCAAGACACUGGCCACUUUCUACUCACUGAAGUUCCCACCGCAGCGCUGGCUCCCGGCUCCCUAGCUCCCGCCCCCUGUCUGCAGGAAAGCCCUCCCCCGGAGCUUCCGAAACUGCUGGAGGUUCCAGAGUUUUGUAGCUCCGAAUGGGCGACCUGAGCCGAACCGCUCUCUGGCUGGGUGGUCGGCGGGAUCCUUCAGGCUCCUUUCGGGUCCGGGACGGGGCGGCGGCAGAGGUGGGGCGUGCGUGCUUGGGGCUGCCGAGUGAGUGCGGCUCCCUGGUGCGCGCCCGAGCAUCUCCCCGCCCUCUCCUGGGACCAGCAGUCUGCCCGUGGAGGGCUAGGAGCCCGCGACCAGGCCUGCCCCGGCCGUCGCCAACCUGUCCUUGGAAGCGUGGCGGAGACUGGUGCGCUCUCAGCCUCGUCGCGCCAGCCGCCUCGCGCCACCCUCCACUUUCAGCUUCAGAGCAGAGGAUUCCGCCGACCUCCACCUGUACCUGUACUCGGCCGUUAGGAAAUCCACUUGCAUUUUUAACUACCGUGCAGAACCAGAAACAGAUCGAGCACUGGGAGAACAAGGACGACGCCUCCUAGGAAAGCCUGAACCUUUAUGUUAGUUUAUCCAAAGUUUGGGCUAGAAGUGAGGAGAAUCCCUAAACUCGAGGUGGUGUGCCCAGACCCACAGCCCGUGUUCCCGAAGUUGCUAAGUGCCCGAGCGCAGCGCGUUAAGUAGAGAAGUCUUGGUAGUAAGCGAACCCGACCCGGCUCUCGGGGCGCUAGUGACGGAAAGCAGCACGCAUAUCUUUGCGGGAAGAAUCUAGAGUCGCCCUGGGAUAGAUCCAUCUCCUUCUGCCACUGAAUUUCACACUUGAAAAAGAUAAGGUCAUGGGGGCGGAUGAAUGAUAUCCCUCACUCAUUUAGCCAUUCUUAUUAUUAUAUAAAAAAAAGGCUUGUCAAUUAUGAAGGUGUGUCCCAGAUAUUACAUGAAGAUCAUGCAAACUACUUGAAAUUUGAAUCCGGACAUGAUCGUAAGGAAACUCUUUCAUAAAGCACUUUUGUGGCCUAGUUCCCACACACACACAAAAGUAUUAGGUCUUUAAAACUUUUCCAAGUAGUAAGUGAGACUCCCUCUUACUGUCUACGAAUACACAAUAAAGAGAUGAGACACUGCCCCAAUCCUAAAGAGGCCAGAACUGAAGUGCUACAUUGUGUGAGUUAGGGGAUGCUUCUUUUUUCCAGCUCUUUUUUCUAGAAUCCUCAUUACAGCUAACGCUGGUAAUAAAGGUAGGAAAACAAUAGAACUCAUAAAACUUAGAAAUGGUAAUAAAUCUUGGCUCCUGUCUCUAGCCCAGUUCCUUCUUACAUGAGAUUCAAAGUUUUUCAGUAUGCAAUGCUGAACGUUCACACUAUGGUUGCAAAAUAGAAAAAAAUACUCUAGAACUCAUUAAUACGGCCCUGCGCACUCUAUGCCAGGCGUCGCUGGUGGACAAAGCGCGCAGGGGUCCUCCUCUACGUCUGCCUGCGCCUGUAAUCCAGGCAGCUUACGUGUGUUAAAUUUGGGUCUCUCUCUGUCUCUCACACAAAGAAGUUCCAUCAUUUGAGGCCGUUAGGAAAAGCUGAUGUUGUGCAGUGCCAAACUACCACACGCUUCCUCCUUCGGAUGAAUCCCUGGAAAGCAGAGAGGCAGCUCGCUACGUGACCAUCAUGCUUUUUACCUCACUGAGCUGUUGUCAAGAGAGGGCGGGGAUGGCGGGCAGCUCACGUCGUGCCCUCCGCAGCAAUAAAAACUGGAGCGGGAGAAGAAAUGCAAGACAUCGCUGUCUGUUUUGCAAGCCUCUGGCCGCUCUCAGCAAACUCUGCCCGGCGCGGCUGGUGACUUUGCGGUGUGAACGCAGCCGGUCGUGCUCGGGAUAAUGGGACCGAGCUGGCGGCAUCGCCCUCCCGUGGGCCCCUCUUGCCACACAGAUGCGCAGCUCUCCAAAAGGAAAAUGUGGCCCAGCAACCCUCGCCUAGCCCUAGUCCUAGGAAUGCAUGCCUGGGGCCUUUGGAAGCCUCUCAAAGGGCUGGGGGGCGGGGGGGAGGGAUAUAAUGGGCCGAACCUCUGGAUUCAUUUUGGGGAAGAGGAGACAGGUUCUUGCCCCACUACUGAGGCAAGGCCAACAGCACCCUGCCCUGCUGCUCCACCGCCUCCCCGCGGGUCAAGUCUCAGCCGAGUGUCGCUGCCCACCUGAAGGUGACACCUGUCCAUUUUAGUCAGCAUCACAUGCGCCUUCCCUUUCUCCCCUUUGGGGUCUGUCCGUUUUCUCCUCCUGUCCUAAAGAGCCAGCUUGGAACUGAAGGGGCCGGGUAGCAGCUGUUUGUGCCUCUUGCCCGUGCAGACUCGAGGGUCUCCGCAGCCACUUCCUCCUUUAACACGCGAGGCUUUCAGGCGUGCAGAAGGGGACCGCCGGGUCAGGCAGGUAUUAGGCUCUCCAAGGACACUUGUGGACAUCACUGGAGUUUACCUAUUGUUUGGACUUUAUUACAUCUGCUUUAGCAAACGGAGGCAUGAGCGGCCUGUCUGCUGGGUUCAAACCCAGUUGCUGCCCCGGCUGCAACCUCUCCCACUCAAGAGACCCUAGGAACGAUGAGGAACGGGGUAGAAAUGACCAGGGGAGCCAAAUCUCAGGUACCGAGACCUUCCAGCUCACCCCUCAGGCUCAGGAAAGCCAAUAACCCACAUAUGCCCAAAAGGAGCUUAUGUCUCAACUGAGAACAGCAAAUAGGUGAUGGGCCACUUUAGAACAGAGGCUAAAGGCUGGUAGCCACUGAGCAAAACCCAAAUUCUAGGCACCUGAGGUGUUUCCCUUACACAAGUGCCUUCACAGGUAGCAAGCAAUUAAUCUGCAACAGUGAACAACACUAAAACUUAAAUUUUACAUGGAAGUCUCUCAAGUAGACAAAGUUAUUAUUGGGUGGGGUUUUCCCCCCACUGGCAAAAAAAUAACUUAUCCCUUGGCUGUUAGAUUGAGGGAACUAUAAAACAAAUAUUUUAAUUCGAUCACUGACAAAGUCAUAAAAUUCAAUGACUGUUUGUAGAGGAAAACAUGCUUUCAUUAUCUUAAUUAAAGCAAGAUAAGCCUCUCUCAAUGUGCAUGCAUUUUGGAGCCACUGAAUGGACUGGUGAUGAGACGAAGCAACCUUUAAUUGGGACCAUGCUUCUCCAGUACAUUCGUUUGUAUUCCAUGGUGUAAACCGGGCCUUACGCGUGGCUCCGACCUUCGGUGGAAAUGCAUUUGCGUAGCACCACCCAGGGGCUCCCUUGCUUUGGCUAGAGCCUCAUAAAAGACCCCAGGUUUUGCGAAGGAUUUUGAACACCAGCGUCUUUUAACAUGUGGAACUUUCGGUUUUGGUUUAGCUCUGUGAACGUAUUUAAAACUUGCUACAUUAUUCCACAGUGAAAGUUGGAACCUUUUUAAGAGUUAUCAUAGAGUGCCUUUUAACAUCUGUCAUAUUUUCUAUAAACAACUUUUCAGUGAGAAGCGUAUAUAGUGUACUCGAGGUAGGCAUUAGCUGCUGGCAAGGUUUAUGAUACAAUAGUGACACUACAGGACAAUUUUUUAGUCAAACAACACCCGUUAGAUAUUUCAGGGUCCAGCUUAUAUGUUAACUUGUAAAUAUAGGUUAAAAAUAUAGGUAUCAAGUGACUAAAUUCAGUAUCAGACAAAUUGAACAUCUUUUUAUUUCCCAGAAGUGCCCUACUCUUUCUCCUCCCUUUGGUGACCUCUUAGUCUGGAAUGCUCUGCAUCCGGGGCCCCUGGAACACAUAGUUUUUAAAGUACCUAUUAGUGAUACUCUCCUCCCGUUGGCAGUGCUUCCACUGUGUUUUCUGCAUGUAAUAAAGGAUGGCACUGUUUUUUGCAUAGGUCUUUCCUAAUAGCUGAGCACUCUUGGAGUGUAGGGGCUCAACCUUAUGCCUCUUUGGACACACAAGCCUAGCCCAUGGGCUGGCAUAUAGGAGCUGCUCAAUAAAUGUUUGUUGAACGAAUGAGUGGAUACACGAAUAAAAUAUUUUCAUUGUCUUUAGCCCCUCUGACUUUCUUUUUUAAACAGGGGUAUGUCAUAAAUAAAAUUUACCUUGAAAAUGCAUUUAAGUACACUGUUCUACUUCUCUGACCAUGAAGUUUUUAAUGGGACAUCGUUUUAAAAUUCUGGUCAUUACAACGAACCACUUUUGACCUUGGUUGACUUUUCUCAGAAUCAUAAUGCGAAGUAAAGACAAAAACAAUGAGAAAAGGCAAAGAGAUCAAAUUUUGGUUUUCUCUUUUUCAGUAGGAUAUGAUGUUUAUCGAAAUUUGGAAACAAAUUGUAGCAAGCACCUAUAACAUGUAGAUACUCAUGUUUUUAUAUUAAAUAUGACAUUAUUUAUAAAAAAAAA